rnacentral:rRNA from 1 species
ACGAACGCUGGCGGCGUGCCUAAUCCCUGCAAGUAGAACGCACAGUUUAUACCGUAGCUUGCUACACCAUAAACUGUGAGUUGCGAACGGGUGAGUAACGCGUAGGUAACCUGCCUGGUAGCGGGGGAUAACUAUUGGAAACGAUAGCUAAUACCGCAUAAUAUUGAUUAUUGCAUGAUAAUUGAUUGAAAGAUGCUAUUGCAUCACUACCAGAUGGACCUGCGUUGUAUUAGCUAGUAGGUGAGGUAACGGCUCACCUAGGCGACGAUACAUAGCCGACCUGAGAGGGUGAUCGGCCACACUGGGACUGAGACACGGCCCAGACUCCUACGGGAGGCAGCAGUAGGGAAUCUUCGGCAAUGGACGAAAGUCUGACCGAGCAACGCCGCGUGAGUGAAGAAGGUUGUCGGAUCGUAAAGCUCGGUUGUAAGAGAAGAACGGGUGUGAGAGUGGAAAGUUCACACUGUGACGGUAUCUUACCAGAAAGGGACGGCUAACUACGUG